rnacentral:tRNA from 1 species
AAAAUGAAACUAACCUUCCAGGAAAGCUUUCCUUUCACCCGGUUUAAAUUAAAUUUAACACACACGGAAUCCUGAUUUGUUUUCGAUUUGUUCAGGGAAUUCUUGAGAUGGAAGCGAUGGAAAAAGUUUCACGCCCAACGUGGGGCUCGAACCCACGACCCUGGGAUUAAGAGUCCCAUGCUCUACCGACUGAGCUAGCCGGGCAAUCCUAGAAGUUUCCUCAUCUGUAAAAUGAGUUGGAGAGGACAUGGCAAACCGUUCCAGUAUCUUUGCCAAGAAAACCCCAAAUGGGGUCACAAGGAGUGAAACACGACUGAAAAAAUGGCUGAACAAUCAAAAAAGACAUAAGUAUAAAAGAGCUAAGGCCCAGCAAGCAAGCUAUGUCCUGAGGUUGGCAUGACAACAAU